UACGAAGGGGGCUAGCGUUGCUCGGAAUCACUGGGCGUAAAGCGCACGUAGGCGGUCUCUUAAGUCGGGGGUGAAAUCCUGGAGCUCAACUCCAGAACUGCCUUCGAUACUGAGAGUCUUGAGUCCGGGAGAGGUGAGUGGAACUGCGAGUGUAGAGGUGAAAUUCGUAGAUAUUCGCAAGAACACCAGUGGCGAAGGCGGCUCACUGGCCCGGUACUGACGCUGAGGUGCGAAAGCGUGGGGAGCAAACAGG
rnacentral:rRNA from 1 species